UGUGAGCUCGAUGAGUAGGGCGGGACACGUGGUAUCCUGUCUGAAUAUGGGGGGACCAUCCUCCAAGGCUAAAUACUCCUGACUGACCGAUAGUGAACCAGUACCGUGAGGGAAAGGCGAAAAGAACCCCGGCGAGGGGAGUGAAAAAGAACCUGAAACCGUGUACGUACAAGCAGUGGGAGCACGCUUCGGCGUGUGACUGCGUACCUUUUGUAUAAUGGGUCAGCGACUUAUAUUCUGUAGCAAGGUUAACCGAAUAGGGGAGCCGAAGGGAAACCGAGUCUUAACUGGGCGUUAAGUUGCAGGGUAUAGACCCGAAACCCGGUGAUCUAGCCAUGGGCAGGUUGAAGGUUGGGUAACACUAACUGGAGGACCGAACCGACUAAUGUUGAAAAAUUAGCGGAUGACUUGUGGCUGGGGGUGAAAGGCCAAUCAAACCGGGAGAUAGCUGGUUCUCCCCGAAAGCUAUUUAGGUAGCGCCUCGUGAAUUCAUCUCCGGGGGUAGAGCACUGUUUCGGCAAGGGGGUCAUCCCGACUUACCAACCCGAUGCAAACUGCGAAUACCGGAGAAUGUUAUCACGGGAGACACACGGCGGGUGCUAACGUCCGUCGUGAAGAGGGAAACAACCCAGACCGCCAGCUAAGGUCCCAAAGUCAUGGUUAAGUGGGAAACGAUGUGGGAAGGCCCAGACAGCCAGGAUGUUGGCUUAGAAGCAGCCAUCAUUUAAAGAAAGCGUAAUAGCUCACUGGUCGAGUCGGCCUGCGCGGAAGAUGUAACGGGGCUAAACCAUGCACCGAAGCUGCGGCAGCGACACUAUGUGUUGUUGGGUA
rnacentral:rRNA from 1 species